rnacentral:rRNA from 1 species
UACGGGGGGGGUAAGCGUUGUUCGGAAUUACUGGGCGUAAAGGGCUCGUAGGCGGCCAACUAAGUCAGACGUGAAAUCCCUCAGCUUAACUGGGGAACUGCGUCUGAUACUGGAUGGCUUGGAUUCGGGAGAGGAAUGGCGGAAUUCCAGGUGUAGCGGUGAAAUGCGUGAGAUAUCUGGAGGAACACCGGUGGCGAAGGCGGCAUUCUGGACCGAUAUUGACGCUGAGGAGCGAAAGCCAGGGGAG